rnacentral:misc_RNA from 1 species
UUAUUAUUAUUAAUAAUUUUUUUUAAUUUUCAAAACUACCAUAAUAAUAAACCAUUGGAUGAGUUCCAUUGUGAAUGUGAACUAGAUAAUGGUUUUUAUUCUAUGUUAUGACCCAAAGUUGUUUAGUGCUUGCAACUUUGGUUUAAUUUUUACUUGAUUAGGAUGUUACUCUGUAGUAGCUUGUGUUAUCACGUUUGUAAUAGUAUUAUAGAUGUUAUAUUGUUCCUUUGAGUGAGAUUUGUGUGGAUAUAUUCUUGCUAAAUAGGUCUAUUUCCUAUUAUUCUAAUUGUCAUUUUUUUGGUCAUUUGUCAACACAGCAUCUUUCUCAAAUUAAACUUCUGAAUUUUGCUUACCUUCAUUGUCCUUUCAUUUGCCCAUUUGUUCUGAUAUAUAUAUAUAUAUACACUUGCUACAUCAUAAAUUCAGUAGUUCUAUCCUUCACUAUGUAUUAAAUUCUAUCUUUUGCUACGUGUUCAAUUUUG